rnacentral:rRNA from 1 species
AUUGAACGCUGGCGGCAGGCUUAACACAUGCAAGUCGAGCGGAGUGAUGGUGCUUGCACUAUCACUUAGCGGCGGACGGGUGAGUAAUGCUUAGGAAUCUGCCAUUUAGUGGGGGACAACAUUCCGAAAGGAAUGCUAAUACCGCAUACGUCCUACGGGAGAAAGCAGGGGAUCUUCGGACCUUGCGCUAAAUGAUGAGCCUAAGUCGGAUUAGCUAGUUGGUGGGGUAAAGGCCUACCAAGGCGACGAUCUGUAGCGGGUCUGAGAGGAUGAUCCGCCACACUGAGACUGAGGCACGGCCCAGACUCCUACGGGAGGCAGCAGUGGGGAAUAUUGGACAAUGGGCGGAAGCCUGAUCCAGCCAUGCCGCGUGUGUGAAGAAGGCCUUUUGGUUGUAUAGCACUUUAAGCGAGGAGGAGGCUCUCCUAGUUAAUACCUAGGAAGAGUGGACGUUACUCGCAGAAUAAGCACCGGCUAACUCUGUGCCAGCCGCCGCUGUAACAC